rnacentral:rRNA from 1 species
CAGUCGCCGCGGUAAUACGUAGGGUGCAAGCGUUAAUCGGAAUUACUGGGCGUAAAGCGUGCGCAGGCGGUUUGUUAAGACAGAUGUGAAAUCCCCGGGCUCAACCUGGGAACUGCAUUUGUGACUGGCGAGCUAGAGUAUGGCAGAGGGGGGUAGAAUUCCACGUGUAGCAGUGAAAUGCGUAGAGAUGUGGAGGAAUACCGAUGGCGAAGGCAGCCCCCUGGGCCAAUACUGACGCUCAUGCACGAAAGCGUGGGGAGCAAACAGGAUUAGAGACCCCCGUAGUCCCUGUCUCUUAUAA